AUCCCCUCGACCGCGUAGUGAAAGUAACGGUUUUCUACCCUCGGGUGGACAGGGAGGACAGGUGGUGCAUGGUUGUCGUCAGCUCGUGUCGUGAGAUGUUGGGUUAAGUCCCGCAACGAGCGCAACCCCUACGUUUAGUUGCUAACGCGUGAAGGCGAGCACUCUAGACGAACUGCCGUUGACAAAACGGAGGAAGGUGGGAUGACGUCAAAUCAUCAUGCCCCUUAUGUUCUGGGCUACACACGUGCUACAAUGGCCGGUACAGACGGACGCAAAGCCGCGAGGUGGAGCAAAUCCUAAAAAGCCGGUCUCAGUUCGGAUUGCAGGCUGCAAUUCGCCUGCAUGAAGUCGGAAUCGCUAGUAAUCGCAGGUCAGCAUACUGCGGUGAAUACGUUCCCGGGUCUU
rnacentral:rRNA from 1 species